rnacentral:rRNA from 1 species
UACGGGGGGAGCAAGCGUUGUUCGGAUUUACUGGGCGUAAAGGGCGCGUAGGCGGCCACCGCAAGUCAGUUGUGAAAUCUCUGGGCUUAACCCAGAACAGUCAGCUGAUACUGCGGGGCUAGAGUGCAGAAGGGGCAACUGGAAUUCUCGGUGUAGCGGUGAAAUGCGUAGAUAUCGAGAGGAACACCGGUGGCGAAGGCGGGUCUCUGGGCCGUAACUGACGCUGAGGAGCGAAAGCAUGGGGAGCGAACAGG